AAGUCGUAACAAGGUUUCCGUAGGUGAACCUGCGGAAGGAUCAUUAGUGGAGUGUGCACCCCGAGUGCACCAACUCUCAUUGACACCUGUGUUAUUGUGAAUGUUCGUGUGCUUGGUGCGUGUGAUGGGGAGCGAUCCCUGUCCGCGCACCGGCACACACCGUUUUAAACCUUAUUUCAAACCUCUGAUCCAAAACGUCCUUUCAACGGGACAUUCAAAAACAGUAAAACUGUUGGCAACGGAUCACUUGGUUCUC
rnacentral:misc_RNA from 1 species